rnacentral:rRNA from 1 species
AUCGAACGCUGGCGGCAGGCCUAACACAUGCAAGUCGAACGAGUGGCGGACGGGUGAGUAAUGUCUGGGACACUGCCCGAGGGAGGGGGAUAAAUACUGGAAACGGUAGCUAAUACCGCAAACCAUCGGAUGUGGCCAGAUGGGCUUAGCUAGUAGGUGGGGUAACGGCGCACCUAGGCGACGAUCCCUGGCUGGUCUGAGAGGAUGACAAGCCACACUGGAACUGGGCAACGGUCCAGACUCCUACGGGAGGCGGCAGAGGGGAAUAUUGCACAAUGGGCGCAAGCCUGAUGCAGCCAUGCCGCUUGUAUGAAGAAGGCCUUCGGGUUGUAAAGUACUUUCAGCGAGGAGGCGUUACUCGCAGAAGAAGCACCGGCUAACUCCGUGCCAGCAGCCGCGGUAAUAC